UGAUACACCAACCACUGCAAACCUGGACCGGCUGUCACCACCCACCCUUGGAGGUGCCGACAUUUGCUCCCAGUCACCUGUGUUGGCUCCUGAUUCAUUGGGUUCAUCUGCAGCUACACCAAGAAUACACAGGGGAGGCAGACCCAACAUUGUGAGGACUCCAAGGACCACUUCUCUAAUUCAG